AACGCACCUUGCGCCUUUUGGUAUUCCGAAAGGCAUGCCUGUUUGAGUGUCAUGAAAUCUCAAUCCCUCUGGUUUUCUAACUGGCUGGAUUGGACUUGGGCGUCUUGCCAGCAAUGGCUCGCCUCAAAUGACUUAGUGGAACAUCCCACAUCAGUGUUAGACGUAAUAAGUUUCGUCUCUCCUUGUGGCGGUGACUGCUUAGAACCUGCCAUCGCGCACUCUUUUGACUUUGACCUCAAAUCAGGUAGGGCUACCCGCUGAACUUAA
rnacentral:misc_RNA from 1 species